AGCGAACGCUGGCGGCAGGCCUAAAACAUGCAAGUCGAACGCCCGUAGCAAUACGGGAGUGGCAGACGGGUGAGUAACACGUGGGAACGUACCCUUUGGUUCGGAACAACACAGGGAAACUUGUGCUAAUACCGGAUAAGCCCUUACGGGGAAAGAUUUAUCGCCAGAGGAUCGGCCCGCGUCUGAUUAGCUUGUUGGUAGAGGUAACGGCUCACCAAGGCUACGAUCAGUAGCUGGUCGAGAGGAUGAUCAGCCACACUGGGACUGAGACACGGCCCAGACUCC
rnacentral:rRNA from 1 species